CUUCCAGCCGGUGAGGUACAUGUACCUAACCGGCUGGAAGGAUUUCCUUCCAGUCAACGAGGUACAUGUACCUUGUCGACCGGAAGCCGGCGAGGUACAUGCCUUGUCAACUGGAAGGAUUUCCUUCCAGCCGGCAAGGUACAUGUACCUCGUUGGCUGGAAG
rnacentral:miRNA from 1 species